AAAACAUGUCUUAUUGAUUAUAAUUUUAAGUCUAAUCUGCCCAAUGAUUUUUAUUUAAUGGCUGCAGUAUUUAUAACUGUACAAAGGUAGCAUAAUAAUUAGUUUUUUAAUUGAAAACUAGAAUGAAAGAUUAAAUGAAAUAUACACUAUAUAAAUAAAAUUAAAAAUUAAAAUUAAAAUUUAAGUAAAAAUUCUUAAAUUAUUUUAAAAGACGAGAAGACCCUAUAGAAUUUUAUUUUUUAUUAUUUUAAAAUUGAUUAAUAAAUUAAAAUAAAUCAUAAAAAAUUUAAUUGGGGUAAUUUUAAAAUUAAAUUAAUUUUUAUUUUAAAAACAUAAAUUAAUGAAUUUUUAAUCUUAAAAUUUAGAUUAAAAAAAUAAAUUACCUUAGG
rnacentral:rRNA from 1 species